rnacentral:rRNA from 1 species
UACGUAGGGAGCAAGCGUUGUCCGGAAUCAUUGGGCGUAAAGCGCGCGUAGGUGGCUUCGUAAGUCCGUUGUGAAAGUCAAAGGCUCAACCUUUGAAAGCCGAUGGAUACUGUGAAGCUAGAGUACGGAAGAGGCGAGUGGAAUUCCUGGUGUAGCGGUGGAAUGCGCAGAUAUCAGGAGGAACACCAAUAGCGAAGGCAGCUCGCUGGGACGGUACUGACGCUGAGGCGCGAAAGCGUGGGGAGCGAAACAGG